AAUAGAUACCCGGGUAGUCCACGCCGUAAACGAUGAGUGCUAAGUGUUAGGGGGUUUCCGCCCCUUAGUGCUGCAGCUAACGCAUUAAGCACUCCGCCUGGGGAGUACGGCCGCAAGGCUGAAACUCAAAGGAAUUGACGGGGGCCCGCACAAGCGGUGGAGCAUGUGGUUUAAUUCGAAGCAACGCGAAGAACCUUACCAGGUCUUGACAUCUCCUGACCGCCCUGGAGACAGGGUCUUCCCUUCGGGGACAGGAUGACAGGUGGUGCAUGGUUGUCGUCAGCUCGUGUCGUGAGAUGUUGGGUUAAGUCCCGCAACGAGCGCAACCCUUGUCCUUAGUUGCCAACAUUCAGUUGGGCACUCUAAGGAGACUGCCGGCUAAAAGUCGGAGGAAGGUGGGGAUGACGUCAAAUCAUCAUGCCCCUUAUGACCUGGGCUACACACGUGCUACAAUGGGCGGUACAGAGGGUCGCGAACCCGCGAGGGGGAGCCAAUCCCAAAAAACCGGCUCUCAGUUCGGAUUGCAGGCUGCAACUCG
rnacentral:rRNA from 1 species